AGAACAGAUAUACUUAAGGAAAUGGUAUAAAUAGUUUUUCAAAUGAACUUAGAAUUUUUUUCUAGCUGCAUGAAGAUCUAAUCUUCAUGUUUUAACAAACACAAAAUAGCUAAAAUUAAUUAUUUCUCUCCUGUCCUUACCUUACAUGUCACAAGUUAAAAACUAAGGCCUUCAAAACUAAGGUAUGUGUGUGCUUGGUUAAAUAUUAAGGCACUUUAAAUUGAAUUUAGUAAAAUUGCAUUACAUCAAAUUAUGCUUAAGCUAAAACCCCUUCCUUUCUUUCAAAUAUUAAAACUUAAAAGAAGAGAUGGCCAUGAAAAGGUUAUAAAAAAUAUGUAAUUAUCAGCGCCCCUGAGCAAUUGCUGCCCCUCAAUUUCCUCAAUGUGAAUGCAGCAUUCCACAAACCCUUACAUGUCUGACAGGUUGUCCUGAGAAUCAGUUGAAACGAUGUAUGUGACAGCACUCAAAAUCUCAGCUAACGUCAUUGACCGUAAGGAAUAACUGAAAGGAUUUGAAGUUAUUUAGCCUGAAAAUGAGAACAGAUGAACACACUCAAUGUCAUCAAACACUUCAAGGCUGAACCACAGAAAUGGUUCUGGAUACACAAUACAACUGUCUGUGUACACACACACACACACACAGAGAGAGAGAGAGAGACAGAGAGACAGAGAGACAGAGAGACAGAGACAGAGAGAGCUGCACACACAAUGACCAACAGCUGCUAUAAAUGACAGAAAACACACUUUAAUCUCACUAAAGGAUAUUUCUAGUAGACCUUUUGGAAACUUUGAGUCUCCAACACUAGAAAUAUCCAGGCAUGAGUUAGAAGGCACCAUUAUUAUGCUGGUGAGGCUAAGGAGAAAGUUCAUGCGUUAAAUUGGCAACUGAGCCGUAGGAGCUACACGAUUUCUGCCAUAGUCAAAAAUAUUGUAUAUGAAAACAUCCAGUUUAUAUUUUCCAUUCUGUCUCCUUAAAUAUCAAAAGUUCCCUAAGUAGGCUUUCAAAGUACUACAAGGACAACAGUCUGAACUUUUCAUCACCUCUGCUUCAGGAAGAAAGUAGCAAAACAAAGGGGACAGCAGUGAGCAUGACAGGAAAUUUAAUCGAUUCAAGUGAACAGUCACACUGCAGGAAAGGAACCAGGACCUGGACCAGAACCCGUCGCGGUCUCAGUAGCCUCCGCCCUUCCCGCCCUUCCGGAGUGUCCCUCAC
rnacentral:lncRNA from 1 species